UUUUUUUUUUUUUUUUUACGUCCGUUGAGAUUGAAAUGAAAUUUAUUAUAAGAUUAAAAAGACGCGUUUAUUUAGACUGUUUGAAAAGUCAUUAUUAUUUUUCUAAAAAUUUUUACAUUGUUCUUAAAUAUAUUUUUUAAUCAUCUUUUUAUUGAAUAAUAUAUAUCAAAUCGCCAUUACAUUACAGUAUGUUUUUCUAUAUUAAAGCUUCAAAAAAUAGCAAUUCAAAUCGGACUUCUGUUUUGGGAGGGAGGGAGGGAAGGAGAGAAAAGAGAGAGAGAAAAAAAAAGAAGAAGAAGAAGUUGUUGGUUAAAAAUGGAAAUAGCCGCAAGGAAAAGAGAACUUGGAUGUGUGGGAGGAGUGUAAAAGAAGGAUUCACACGUGUGGUGCAAAGCCCUGACAAGUGUCCUUCAUGCUGACCUGAUUACCGCGUCACCUUCUCAACGUUAGCUUCCUCCUUCCCCGACAAGCCCACACCGUCCACAGUCAAAAAUAAAUAUAUGAAUAAAUAAAUAACCCACAGCCUCAUUCACCUUUUUUACUAUUUAACUCCCACAAAUUUAUAUACAGUACAGUUUUAAAAAAGAAGAGAAAUUAAAAUUGGGCUUAAAUCUGGAUGUCUUUCUUCAGUUCAGUAGUAGAAUUAACUGGUGCAGCGAGGAAGAAAAAAUAAAAUAAAAAAUACAUAUAUAUAGCUCUUGAAUUUUUUAGGUUUAUUUUUUUUAAAGCUGAUAUGGCCUGGAAAUAGAUUAUAUGGAUGGUUGUUUCUUGCUUCUAGCAUCUUGAUGAUGCCUUUGACCUAAUUCAAACUAGUAUGAAUCGAUCACGAACUUCCAUGUAACGUAUGCCGCCCCAACAUCGACCACUUGCGUAAUCAGUGACCAUUUUCGCUGUUUACAUCAAUUCAAGAAAGGGUGCAAAAAUUAAAAUAAAAAAAAAUUUUUUUCCGGUCAGCGUUCUUGAACAAUUUAUUUAUAAAUUUCUUCUGCACAACAUCCAUUUCGAUUACUGAAAACUGGUCUCAUUCUGAACUUUUUUUUUUUUUUGAUGUUGAAUUAACUAAUUUCAAUCACGUUCCUACUUUUUGUAAUUGAUUUUUCAUGUGCAUUAUAAUCUGAACGAAAUGAUAAUCAACUUCAACAAUUGAGUGCGUGCUUCCGCCAUUUUCUUGUCCAAUUCAUUUGAUAUUCCUGCAUGUAGGCAACGCCUGAUUAAUUAACAUUAUUUAAAACAUCCACGCUUCUCACUUGCGCUCUUUAUUUAUUAUUAACAUUUGCUCAAAUGAAUAUGCCUGCGCUGGGUGAACUUUUGUUGUGUUUUUUUUUUUUUUUUUACAGAACGAUUUUGUGGUUAUGCCAAUUGGUUGGUAAUAUUUACGAGAAUAGGCGCAAUGGAUGAAAACAUAUAGAUUUAUGCGUUCAAUUAUCACUAAUUGUUCCCAUCCUUUUUUUUUUUUUUUUUGGGGUGGCGACAUAAUUAAUCAGUUAAUUUAUUAAUUGUAUAGCCACGAUGCUCGGCUGUGGUCGCCAUAUAGCCACCACCACCACCAAGAAUUUGACGCAGGACAGCGUUACGCGAACUGUUAGCCUCGUCUCAGCUAACACGCGUUAUUUCUAAAUAUUUUCCUUUUUAGUGACUCCAUUUGUUCGUCGCGUGUAUGUUUAGUUAAUGUCGUCAGGCCAAGUUUCAUAUUUUCUUUUUUAUCAUAUAAAUAUAUAUACAUACUACUAUACUAGUAUAUAUAUAGGAGUACAUAUUAGUAUAAUGAAUCUAGGAGUCUAGACGGCCCACAUGCAACUUUUAACGCGCUUUUAGUAUUGACCUAUAAUUAAUUCUUGCAACAUACGCUUCCCCGGUUCAUUGUAAAUCGCGUUUUUGGGGCAGAUUCCCGGCUGCCACCUUUAUUUAUGCGGAUAAAAUUUAGGUAUAAAGAAAGAUUUUGAGCAACCAAAUAUAUGGUGUGAUUAUUGUGCAUUUCUUUCUUCCUCGCCCCCACAACACUUCCCUCUCUUCCAGGAGGGGAAGAGCAAAACCAAAAAAAAAAUAGAAAAUUUCAAGGCAGCUACUUGAUGUCCUGUGUCACUGUGUGGAUCCAUAGACCGUAAACGAGGAGGUAAGUUAAUAAUAUUGCAACAAAAUAGGUAAUAAAUAAAUGCAUAUUAUUGUCCGAUGCCUCAUCUCGGUCAACGUGACGUCACUGACUAUUCAUGCACAUGACAUGAGAUACAUCACACGCCUUCUUAAAAACUUCUCUAUAUAUUUUUUUUCUUUUGUAUACAGAUGAGAAAUUCAUAACGUAAAGAAAUUCAUUCGUUUUGAUGUUAUAUCGUACUUUCAAAACCACAAUAUCGUACUUUUAUUCCUGUAUUGGUUGACGAUGCAUGUUUUGUCAGCUGCUCGAUCUUCAGCCAUAAUAAAUACCACAUUUCAAUGGCCCUGAUUGGAUUGGAUGGCUAUUUUUUUAAAAAAAAAAAACUUUUUCUUGUAAGAAAAGUAUAUUAUAAUAAAUUUAAUGUACAUGAAAUAAAAAAAUAUAUUUAUAAAAAACGUAAAAAAUUUUUGAUAUACGAUAGCAAUCCAAACACCACCUUAGUUUAUGAUCAAGACAUCAUCAUUAUGAUGAUCGAGCUGUAAUUGGAAGAUUCUUAAACUUUCGAGGUUCAUCACGGCGCAAGCCAAGCCCGCCUUGCCAUCUUCACCUUGCCUCAACAUAAUUGAACGGACAUGAAGUUGGGUGUCUGGAUGCAUGUAUUGUUCGCACCUACUAUGUAGUUAAUGUUAGGAAUGGGUGCAAGUAGACAAUUUUAACUUCAUUGAAAAAUGUUUUAUCGGACAAUUUGACCACAGUUUGCUUCCAACUUACGUUUCAGACCAAAAAUAAAAAUUGCUGCCAAAAAGCAAUAAAAUGUCUAUAUGUCUAUUUUGUCACGACAUCCCAGUUCCCCAACAGCGCGUGAGAAAAAAAAAAAAAAAAUCAGCCAUUCUAGAGACUUGCACCAGCCAGCCAAUUACUAUAUAGUAUAUACUACUAAUCCAUUAUAUAUCCAAGGCAUUUUCAUUUUUCCCUGCCAUGCUAACCAAAAGGAUCUGCAAACAUGUGAUUAGCAGUAACCAUUAAAUUACUGGUUGCAUGUCUACUUUUCGCAUAACAGUCGUCGUCGAGAAACUUCAAAGCGAUUUUGUUUCAACCCGAAGAGUGUAGGGGUAAAUUUUCAAAGCAAUUGGCCGGUAGGAGUCGGUCAGGAUAAAGAAACAUUCAUAUAUUCAUUGUUCAUAGUACGUUGUCAUAUUACUGAUAUAUUACUCCAGUAUGGAAGCGUUCUUUCCAGUCAGGAGAACUAAAGCGAACUAAGCUUGGAUGCAACAACACGAAACCAUGGGCUACAUCGAACACCGACUUAAAUUGACCGGGGUUCCGGUCUCCGUCGCCUCAGCAGUGGUCAAUAGUCAGAGGUUUGAACUGUUGUUUGUUGGCAUCUAAAAGCAGCAAGGAAUGAAUAAACAUUUGCUUAUUCAACGUUAAAAUAAAAAAAAAAGAAGAUAAUUCCAUGUGAGGGUGUAUCUAAUAUUCCGAGGUUUGCCAGAACAUUUGUCAAAAAACAAAACUCUUUUUCUUCACCACAUUCCUUCUCGUUUUCUUCUUCUUCUUCCUCCUCCUGCUGCCAUUUACUCCACCAUAUUCUUUUUUGCACCACCAUUGUGGGCCAUAACGUGUAUCGUUUUACCCGAUUUGAAUAGUUAUAGCAUGGUGACGGACGGUCCUUGCUUCUCCUUGUACGGUGUAUAUAUAUAUAUGGCAAGAAAAAACUAUGCACAUGAUGCUACACUUCACAUGGAAAAAAGCUGUGCUUGCCAAGGCAUCAUAUUUAGAUAGCAAAUUAUUCGGAAGAUGUUCACAUGUAUGAUCAGGUACGUGCGUACUAAUCACCAUCGCGUCAUUCUAUUUUACAGAGUGUCAGAACCGGCUUGGAGAUGAGACCCCGUCAUUCUAUUUUACAGAGUUCGGCAUCUGACCUAAUUAUCUUAAUGAAGUGCUCAAUUGAUCUAGCUCGGAUCCAAUUCAAACCCCAUGAUGCCUUUUGCCAUCCAUGAAUGUAAAAUCGACGACUAAAGAAAAUUCUAAGACUACUGCGCGCAUGAUGGAUGAAGGUUUUGCAUAGGCUGUAAUGACUAUUGCCAUCCAUGAAUUAAUACUUGCAAGUCUGCAAAACCUGAAUGUAGGUGAGAACGAAGAGAAAAUUUUUAUUAUAUAUAUAUAGUUUAACCUAAACAACUCUGCUAAUUAAGAUAGUCACCAAAAAAAAAUGUUCUUUUUUUAAUAUUCUUAGUGGGAAACAAUUGUUGGAAAGAGAGUGAAGGGAAGCAAGAAUCAAACGAUUGGACGGCCAGCAUCUAUACAUAUAUAGAAGCAGUUAAUUAUGUCAAGUAGCUAGUCCACCAAUUUGCUGCACCCUUUGUGACUACACAGUUGGGAAAGCAAGAGCCUGAUCAACUCAACGAAGACAUUAGACAUGCACACAACAGCAGCCAACUACUUGUGUGGCAUCAUAAGAUACGUAUACCGUACGCCUGUCAAUUGGAUAUAUCGUAUGAUGGUUUCUUGAUCUUCAUCCUUUUUAAUUUUAGUUAUCUACUCCAUAUUCUUUUUAACAAAUGAAAAAUAUUCCAACUUAAUUAGCCAUUAGUAUUAUACAUAUGAUGGGACAAGAAGUUCUUUGGCAUCAGAAUUGUUCCCUACACAUUUCUUGUCACACCUACACAUUCAUACAUUGAAUCAAUUUCGACCGUAUAUAUAUGAAGUCGGAUUUUCUCUACGGAAGCCCGCCCGUUAUUUGUUGGAAGAUCACAAGAUAAUACUUGAUCCAAAAAAUCAGAAUUUUCAACAACCGACGCCUAAUUUCAUGAAACGUUUGAUUAAUUUUUCCAAUCAACCGGUCAAUGCGUAGCUUUUCUUUUCUAAAUAUUUUAUGGUCUUUCCGCGUAAACACAACACCGCGUCGUGCAGAGUCGGUAGCAUUCUUUUAAUUUGAUGUCGCCGAUCUAUAGUAAACUUUUAUCUUUUUCUCUUGUAAUUAAGCUACAAACAAUUAUUGUACUAGCACAAGCACAAGCACAAGAUGCAAGAUUCUCAUCAUCUCUACAGAAUAUAUUUCUUAUAUAAACUUUCACCUAAAUUUUGAACCAAUGUAAUUAAGAAUCGUCAUUCAUUCAUUCAUUCCAGCAUAAGAUAUGGAGAGGGCUAUAUAUAGCUUUGGUUGAAAAGUUGCUUUCUACAGGCAAAAGGCCAUGCACCCUUGUGCUAUAAAUUAAUUAAAGAACCCUUUACCCUACCUAUCAUGCUGGUACGUAUAUAUAAUCCAAUCCACAGAACCGACCUUUUUUUUAUUUUAACUCAUCCAUGGUGGUUAGUAUGUGGGGUUUAAUUAUGAAGGUACGUAUAUAUCUAACCCAUUAUUAUGCCUAUGAUCGAUCGAUGCUUAAUUAAAAGAACGUACACACACAAAUUUUCUUUUCAAGCUCGUCAGGAUAGAGGUCAAGACAGACCUCCCUGGUUCGUUGAAUAUAAACAGAUUGAAAUUCCAUGAUUACCUGCGCCUUCAAUAUAUAGUAAUUGCAGUUAGGAUUCCUUUUCUAGAUGACUGUUGGAAUCAUGCAUCCGUCCAUGGCGGUUACUAAACAAUUUGCUGCGAGCAAAAAAAAAAAAAACUUUUCUUAAUUAUCAGUGGAAUUGAAUAAGGGAUGCUUGGAUUCUAGACACUAACUACUUAUUCCUUCCCAUCAUUAACAAACUAAUGGAGGAUCUCUUGCAAGGCAAGUCCUCUUGGUUCAACUUUUUAUGGCUGCUUUGAACUUAUCGGUUCACAAGAGUGAUUGACCACAAGGACUAGGCUUGCUUUAAUUUCUUUCCAGGAGAAGACAACUGCCGUCAAAUUGGGGUAACUAGUUGGGAGUGAUUUCAGAGUUCAUGAUUCUCUUCUAUUGCUACUUCUCAAAAAAUAAUAUAAUAAAAGCUUUUUUGGAGUUCUUAAUUUGGAAUUGUCACAACGAAAAAUGCUUAUAUACUAGGCAUUCGACCCCGCGGCUGUCCGCGGGGUGCCCAUAUUAUGGUGUUAUUGAGUGAUGAAGAAUGUAAAAUAAAGUAGAAGAAAUUAUAAAUAGAGGGUUAUUGUUUUGUUGAAUAGUAUAGUAGUGAUUGUAGAAUAAGCAAAAUACACCAAAAUGGAAAAAGUAAGGAGAUUUUUUAAAUUUGCUAAUAGUUUAUGGAGUCACCUAAGGUAAGUAAAUUCAGAGUUAAUGCAGACUAAAAAGCUGCAACAAAGAAAAAUGAUUCUGUGCGAAGUAGUCAGUUUUUUGGCAAAAAUCAUGGGAACAAAACAGAUAUUCUUAGGUAAUUAAUAGGGAGGAGAAAAUGAUAGAAACAUAACUUCAAUCACAAGGAAAGAAAAUAAGUAACUGUAGAUUGAUUAAGAGUAAACGAGGAAAAGGACAACCAAGAAAUGCAGUAAAGAAAAACAAGGACAUACCUGACUGAAGCCGGCGCGAAGCUGAGAAUUUGAUAACAGGCCGGUGCGAAGCUGAGAAUUUGAAACAGGGAUCAGGAAAAGCCAAUAGAAAAUAAAGAGCUAACAGGAAGGCGCAAGAGAAAAGAGAAACAUCUCUAAAGCAUUAUAAUAGUUGGUAGUCCGUAGAUAAAGAAAACCAAACCAAAGAAACUGACGGUGAAAAGGUUAAUAUAGAUAGAACGCAUAUAGUCUUCAACUAUACAAAGAGUUUGAGGUUUGGCAGAAGGAAACACAUGCAUGCAUUAAAUCUGACUAAUGAUUGCAAGUCCACUAUGACAGUAUGUAAUCUGUGAAAGAACCGAACGAAACAAGCAUAUCUCUAUCUGUAAGUACAUGACAUGAACUGUAACUACAGGUGUAACUUCUAAUAUGUAACCACGUAAGAUAAAUUUUGCGCCACGUAACCUUUAAUCACCAGGGAACAACCACGUAAAUUUUGAUAGCAUGCGGUGGCAUUGUAGAAGAAUUGCUAUAUAUUUUGCUAAAAAUAUCUUAAAACGCAAAAGCUUUAAAUUAAUAAUAUUAGAUACACAAAAAAUUUGUCUCGAAAUAUUUUUUUUUCAGAAAAUCAAUAUUUUUGUUCAGAUAUAUAUUUUGCCGAACAUGCACAUAUAUAAAAAGGCACACAACUAAUUAUCACUUUGUCCUAAACACAUUUAUGUUAUGCUAUUCAAUCUUAAAACGCAAAAGCUUUAAUUUAAUAAUUGAGUAGUUAACAAAUAUUAUCGAAGUAACAUUUUUGAAAUAGAGGAAAAUUAUCCGAUAUUUUUAAAAAUAAUUGAUCGUAUUAAUGGAACCUAAUACAAAGCGGGACAAUUGAUUUAUAUUUAUUAGAUAUGCACAUAUUGGAAUAAGAUGAGAAAAUAGAAUAUGAGCACAACAGCAAAAGGAGACAAUUAACUUGUAACUGGAGCUUGACGGCAAGCUUUAAAUUAAUAAUUAAGUAGUUAAUAUUAAAACACAAAAGCUUUAAAUUAAUAAUAUUAGAUACACACAGAAAUUAUGUCCAUAUAUAUAUUUUGCCGAACAUGCAUAUACAAAUAUUAUCAAUCUUAAACGCAAAAGCUUUAAUUAGCUGUAAUUUAAUAAUUGAGCAGUUAACAAAUAUUAUCGAAGUAACUACUCAAUCUUAAAACGCAAAAGCUUUAAUUUAAUAAUUGAGUAGUUAACAAAUAUUAUCGAUCUUAAAACGCAAAAGCUUUAAUUUAAUAAUUGAGUAUAUUAGUGUAACAUUUUUUGAAUUUUACUUACAAACAUUUACGUUUUUAACAUAAAUUAAAUGAUUCAAAGUAAAAUGUUCAUAAAUAGCUAGUACUUUGUUCAUGUAAUAGAGAAAACCAGUAAAGAGCCGGUAUGCUUUGGGCAAUUUCUUUUUUUACUUUCACAUAUUUAAUUUAUGUUAAAUACAAAACCUAUGAGUUUCCCUUUCAUAAAAAUAUUAGUGUAACACUUUUCCAGUUUUAGCUACAAACAUUUAUGUAUUUUACACAAAUUAAAUAAUUCAAAGUAAAAUGCCCAUAAAUAACUAAUAUUUUGUUCAUGUAAUGCAAAAAACCCAUAAAGACCUGGUAUGUUAUAGGCAAUAUCUUCCAUUUGUUUAUUAAUUAUAUGUACAUGUAUUUUAUAUUGGAACAUGUGUAAAGAUUUGUAAUAUAAGUUUUGCAAUGUAGUAUGGAUUUGUCAUAUUUUGUAUUAUUUUGAAUGAUUAUGGUUUUGAUAUGUUUUUCUAUUGGUAAAGUAAGUAAUUGUUUUGCACUUUUUUAUUUUUUUGGUAUUUUAUUGUUUACAGUAUAUUUAUGUUUUGUCUAAUUGUGAUUUGAUUAUUGGUUCUAAUUAAUUUUAUGCUUGUGAAAGUUGUGAGAGUGGAUUAAUUGAAGGAUUUCUUAGUGUGUAUGAUGGUAUAGUUUGAGGUGUAUUAUUCUAGGUUGUGUUGAUUUUUGUAAUAUUUAGUAUUGAUUAGUAAUGUGUAAAUUGUAUAAAUUUUUUAAUUAUUUGUUGCUGGUACUAUUUAACUUGUGAAGAGUAAUUUGGCAGCCAAGGUUGCUGAUUUUGUUUACGUAUCAUAUAUAUAUAUAUAUAUAGAUAUAUAUAUGUUUGCUAUAUAUGGAUGGAUAUAGUGGUAUUUUUCUUAUGUCCGAAACCCAAACACAGUGGACCAACAUAAGGCGGCAGACCAGAAAAGAUUUCGCAAAAACCGUGAGAGGUCCAAUAAAUCCGGGCAGACAUAUGCAGCAGGCAACGGGCCAACCACUAAAAAUAUUAUUUACAAUAAAAAGACGAAAAAGGCCAAAAUCUGUAGAGAAACAACAACGAAACCAGUGUAAAAGGGUAAAAUUGGAAUAAGGCGACCAAAAUUUAGAACCUGUGGCCGACAAGCAUGAAACAAAGAUGACCCCACAAUGAGUUCCAUCACACCUACAAAGACAAAUGAGGACAAAAUCAAUGCUCAAAUUACAAAAUAACCAGUGGAAAUCACUGUUGCCAACCCUUCGGCGCUUUAUGUAGUUAGAGAUAUAGGUAUGUAUGUAUGUAUGUAUGAGUUUUAGAAUGAUACUGUCUGUAAUUUGGAGAUGUGCUCGGAGCUAGAAGCAAUUUAUAUUUCUGGGCUAACGCAGCUCUUAUUAACAGUAGUUGCCACCAGGACUUUAAAAAAAAAAAACUAGUUUCUUAGAGAGAAGAAUAUGGGACUAAAAAGUCUCUUCCCUUGAAUUGGAGAGAAAUUCUCUCUAUUACACCACAAUAAAAUUAAUUUUUGAAAAUUAGCAACGGCCAUGAUAUAUUUCAUCAUUUUCGUUAGCUAUACACAAAAUGUAGUAAGAAAUUGACUAAAUUUUACCAUCUGAUUGAUCAUUACAAAUUUUCUUACAGUUCAAACCUUUUUUUUUUUAGUAUGUAUGUUGAUCUAGAAAUUUUUUUCUCAAAAAAAAAAAAGAAAAAGUAAAUAGCCGAAGGGGUUUAAUCAGAAAAGGUGAGAUGAACCAUCUAAAUCCGUGCUAGUAAAAAAUAUUCGAAACUGAUACUACUACCAUCUUCCCCUAACACCUACCAAGAUAGUAAUAAUAAGUACCUGCCAACCGGAAAGAUUUGGAAGCAUCCCUUAGCCGUAGCCUUAAUCAACGGUCCAUUAAUAAUAGUGUAGUAAUUGGCACGGGUCCGGGACGCACGAAACAUGAAACAAAUGACUAGCGCCUAGUACUACUUAGUAUAUUUAGAGAACCACAAUCAAAAGGUAUAAUCAUCAUCAUAUUCAUGAAUGACCCAUGAUUGGUUAAGAGUACCGGGGCUGUGGAUCCGAAUCGAACCCGUUGACUCUGUCUGUCUCCUCUCUUCUCUUGCUACGAGUUGCACAUGACCGAUGAUUGCGGGCCAUUUGUUUAUCCCUCAAAAUUUUCAGGUUAUUAUUAUAUUAAACAAAAAUUUUAAAAGCUCAGUGAUGUCAUCCCAUCGUCACUUUAGUUAUAAAUAAUAUGAGUAGUAUAUAUAUAUAUAUAUUUUUUGAAUGUGGGACUGGCGACUCAUCUUUGGAUUUCGGAAUCAAAACGCUGCCUGCUACUAGUGGACAAAGUAUUAUAUAGUAGUAGCAGUAGCAGAGUGAGUACUGUUGCAUAUACUGUAUAAAAGCAGCGAGCGUAGCAAGAUCAAGAAAACCAAAGCAGCAUCCUCCGCAUUGAGGUAGAAGAAGAUCUGGGGUGGGCACAUGAUGAUGAAGGUCAAGGUCAACAGCUUUAAUGUUUGUGGUUGCCUUGACUGGAAUCGAUGGGGGGUGGGGGGCACCGUUUGAUUUGAGAGCUUACCGCGUCAAACACCAGAAGCUGACAAAUGCAGGUCUGGACAAUAUCGGCUUCGUUUUUCGUGCACGUCUCUAUAAACAACACAUUUCGACUCAGAGUUCUCUUCUUGGCUCUUUUACUCAUUCUUUUGCCAGAAUAAAACUCUUCUUUAUCCGCCCAUCUUGUCACCCACAUCCCAAAAUUUUUUUUUUUUUUAAAAAAAAAAUAUAUAUAUAUAUUAAAAAGAAAAAGAAACUGAAGGAGCGUAAUUCUUCAAUUUGACGUAGCUGUUUCAAGUAGUUCUUUGUUCAAGUUCCCCGGGUGCAUGAAUUGCAUUUGUGAUCAUCGUGUUACAACAAUCAAUACUAGAAGAUGACCAGAGAAAAUAGGUCUAUUUGUUUGCGCGUUGCAUGUGGAAAUUUCAUUUAUUUUCUUUUCGCUAGUCCGAUAGCUCAUUAUUAAUGUUGUUUUGGAGCAAGUUUGGUCUGAAAGGGCGAUUGAAAGCAAGAGGAAUAGCUGCUUCUUUUCUCACAGACCAAGUGUACCACUAAAAUAUGGUGGUCACUGAUAAAUAGCGGGUAUCUGGUAAUUUAUCCAAUUGCCCUCCAGAAAAUACAAUUCUGGGAGAGCAUGAUUGAGAAAACUCUGGGUAAAACAUACAACUACGGGAGAGAGAGAGCUAGAUUUUUUAAGUGACUUUGAAACCCCAAAAGGUCUCUCAGAUCAUGGGCGCGCCGGUGGACCUUUCUUGUUUGAGCAAAUUAUUCGGAUGGUAACUAAACGUUUAGAAUCGUUGAAUUUUGAUCACUGCAACUAUUAAAAGCCUGAUUUUGACCCUUGAAUUAUCUAAAGUUUAGAUUUCGUACCAUUCCGUCAAAUUUGAUCGUUAACUAUGUCAGAUCUAAGUAUUUGCACAAUUCACGAAACAAGAGAAAGAGGGACAGUUAAAUCUGACCCGAAAUCUAAACUUUAUAUAGUUUAGUGAUCAAAAUCAAAUUUUUAAUAAUUUAAUAACCAAAAUUUUGAUGACAUCAAAAGUUUAGUGAUCAUCCGGAUAAUUUUGGCUGAACUUGUUUAGUGUAGUAUUUUUAAGAGGAAUUAUUAUUUCAUGGAGAAUCACGUAGUCCAGAGAAUGGCCCAUAACUUUCGAGAGGCAUUAUUGACGUUAACAGUUGGUUUCCUCUGGGUUCAAUUUCAACUGUCAACACGGAGUUUGAAGUCCCACAAAGAUUCCCAGGCAUAAGACACGUCCCCCGAGGUCAAACAUAUCAUCACAUCUCAUCUCAGACUAUAGAUAUAUAUACACACACACAUAUGGGCUACAGGCGCCCUAGGCCCCUCCCCUUUUGUAUGAUUCUGAGUGCUUAAAAGAGUUGAGCCAAGCCAACCCUGAACUUUUGUUUCCGCUUCCCCACCAGGUGUGAAUGCUCAGCUCAUUCUGCUUUGGAUACUCGGGCCAAUUUCAACUAAAACUCGUCUGCAAGAAUACAAUAAUGAAGCAAGAACUUGGUCCCAGCCCUUGUUAGCAUGCAAAUACGACACAACUAGAAGCAUUGGCUUGGUCAGAAGCACGUCAUAUUAGGUCAAAAUCCUUUUAGACAACAAAAAAACUAGGCUUUUUUUUUUUUUGGGUGGAACAAGUUAAAAGGAAGCAAAUAAAUAUAUGCAAGGAUUAAAAGGAACACACAUGAACGAUCUGUCUGACCGCUUUCGAGGCAAAGAAAACUUGAAGGAAAAAAAAAAUGCUAUGUUGACUUUUUAUGCUGAACAGGUCCUGCCCGCAUCGCAGAAGCGGAUGUGACCCAAAGGAAUCUUCAGAAAUGUUUCAAAAGGUCAAUCAUUAAAUAUAGCAACUUAUGGUACACUGCCACGCCUUGAAGAAACCGAAAUUGAAAGGAAGGGCUUUUUCUGAACUUUAACAGUCUUGUAUCGGUGAAUCUUUCAUUGACAAACAGGACGAAUCAAUGCUGAAAACUAUACUAUAUGCUCAGAUUGUAGAUGGCAUUGAGAGCCGUGAGUUUCUCCAUGAGAAAAUGGAGCGACAGCCAAGUUUAAUGAAGCAUGCAUGCACCAAGGUCCGCACUUUGGUAUCACGAUCAUGUUCUCUGGGCUACUUUAUGGAUAGGUAAAAGGGCAAAUACAAAAUGGACCGAUAAAACUAAACCAAUUUUGACAACACUACAGUACCAUCCACGAUGAUGUAAACAGCGCCUAAGACUCGAGACUGGCAUCAUCUGAGUCCUCAAAAAUCUUACCCCAAAAAAAAAAAAAAAGGCUGCUUCUAACUACUCCUUCCUAGGACCUAGUCGGAAUUAGCUUAAGAUCAAAGAUUCAAUUCCAAACCGGAUGUCUCCUGAGCCAAAUGUGUUUAAAAUUAGAGAUGGAUCCUCUUAAGGUAAAAUCCAGUGCCAGCUGGGGCAGGGGUACUUUUCAGAGACCGUCAAACAAGAUGGAUUUCUGCUUUGGCUAAAAGCUGGGACAUCCUACCAACGUCCUUGCCGAAUUAUGGAGGAUACAAGAUGGAUUGACACCGUCCAAAUCUCUCAACAUACAAUAUGUAGAAGUACAAAUAGAUGCUACUGCUGCAAUUGUAUUUGAUUAAAUAAGCAGACUCUUCCGCUCGUGAAUUUGUAUCAAUCGUCUCUGAUUUUAGGUACCUGAUCUGUCACUGCAGAAAGCAAGACUUGCACAUGUUUAUUGACAAGCCAAUAGGUGUGCAGAUUGGCUUGCCAAGUUUGGAGCAGAUCAGACUGAACCUUUCUCUUAUUUGAGGCAAUGUCUCCUGCGAUGUCUAGUUUAAUUUUGGAUGACAUCAAAUGGAUAUGUUUCCCUCAUUUUGUAACUAACUCUUAAUCAAUAUCUGCAUCUUUUUUACCCCAAAAAAAAAAAAAAAGCUAAUGGACUGCUCUUAAUCGAAAACUUCAAGCCAGGGGAGAAGGGCAUCCCAUGUAGGGCCAAAGUCAUUUAAUCCAACAACAAAAACAAGCACUGCUAACUUUAUCGAGCCAUCAAGCAGUUCAAGAAAACAAAAAGCAUCAAAGAAGCAGAUAUUUCUACCCAAUAUUACAGCUCUAAACUCACACUUCAAAGCUGAUGCAGUCUAAUUUUCUCACAACACGUCUCUUGAUCGCAAACAAGAUUCAGAAUCAGGAAUUUAAAGGAU
rnacentral:lncRNA from 1 species